rnacentral:rRNA from 1 species
GACGAACGCUGGCGGCGUGCCUAAUACAUGCAAGUCGAACGAGCGGCGGACGGGUGAGUAAUGUAGGGGGACUGCCCGAUAGAGGGGGCUAACUACUGGAAACGGUGGCUAAUACCGCAUACUAUCGGUAAACCCAUAUGGGAUUAGCUAGUAGGGGGGGUAAAGGCUCACCUAGGCGACGAUCUCUAGCUGGUCUGAGAGGAUGAUAAGCCACACUGGGACUGAGACACGGCCCCGACUCCUACGGAGGCAGCAGUGGGGAAUAUUGCACAAUGGGCGCAAGCCUGAUGCAGCCAUGCCGCGUGUAGGAAGAAGGCCUUAGGGUUGUAAAGUACUGUCAGUGGGGAGGCGUUACCCGCAGAAGAAGCACCGGCUAACUCCGUGCCAGCAGCCGCGGUAAUAC